UGAGGAAUAUUGGUCAAUGGGCGGGAGCCUGAACCAGCCAAGCCGCGUGAGGGAGGAAGGCCCUGUGGGUCGUAAACCUCUUUUGUCAGGGAACAAAAGCGAGUAUGUAUACUAGUCUGAGUGUACCUGAAGAAAAAGGCAUCGGCUAACUCCGUGCCAGCAGCCGCGGUAAUACGGAGGAUGCGAGCGUUAUCCGGAUUUAUUGGGUUUAAAGGGUGCGUAGGCGGCGGUGCAAGUCAGCGGUAAAAGCCCGGGGCUCAACCCCGGCGAGCCGUUGAAACUGCAGUGCUAGAGAAGGCGAGAGGUACGCGGAAUGCGCAGUGUAGCGGUGAAAUGCUUAGAUAUUGCGCAGAACUCCGAUUGCGAAGGCAGCGUACUGGCGCCUGACUGACGCUGAGGCACGAAAGCGUGGGGAUCGAACAGGAUUAGAUACC
rnacentral:rRNA from 1 species